AUCGAACGCUGGCGGCAGGCUUAACACAUGCAAGUCGAGCGAGCGGCGGACGGGUGAGUAAGUGCUGGGAAACUGCCUGAUGGAGGGGGAUAACUACUGGAAACGGUAGCUAAUACCGCAUACCAUCAGAUGUGCACAGAUGGGAUUAGCUAGUGGGGGGGGUAAUGGCUCACCUAGGCGACGAUUCCUAGCCGGUCUGAGAGGAUGACCAGCAACACUGGAACUGAGACACGGUCCAGACUCCUACGGGAGGCAGCAGUGGUGAAUAUUGCACAAUGGGCGCAAGCCUGAUACAGCCAUGCCGCGUGUGUGAAGAAGGCCUUCGGGUUGUAAAGCACUUUCAGCGAGGAGGCGUUACUCGCAGAGGAAGCACCGGCUAACUCCGUGCCAGCAGCCGCGGUAAUAC
rnacentral:rRNA from 1 species